AGAAAAGAGGCGUAAGGAUCAAGCUACCACAGAAACGUAAGAAUGCUCCGAUGAAACCUCCACACGCCAAGAAUACACAGCUGAAACAUAUUUUUGGCUGCUUGGGUUCCACACCAAACCGAGGCUCCAAAGUUGAAUGGAUCCAGUACCACUGACUGAAUUCUUAAAAGAACUUAGAGAGCUUAUCGAGAUGGAACUUCCUUUGACAAAACUGCUUGAUGCUAGGUGCAUUCGGUUUUCGUAGAUCUCGUUGGUGACUCUUUAAUUUUAAACUAGAAACUAUUGAAGCUUCCUCGGAGAUUUGCAACGAAUAUAUGAUUUUACCUGCGAGACCGUAGUAACUAGAGUGAGUUGCCAAUGGUUUUGUUGGAGAGCACCCAAGCAGGUUGCAAGGCCGUAAGGGGAAUGAAAAAAACAAACAAAGAAACAAACAAACAAAAAAGAAAACGUCUGCUACGCAGGUUACACAAAUACAACACCGUGUGCAAGUAAACUAACAUUUACCACCGCGUACACAAUGAUAAAGACUAGAGUAGUGAUUGUGUCAGCAAUAUGAAAACAGCUUUUGGUUAGGGUAUGAAGGACGUGCAGAUAAUAAAGAAAUGUAAGUUCUAAUACUACAAGGUUAGCUCUCCGAGACAUGGUAGAUCGCUGGUAGAUUUUGAGACCAUCUGAUACGAAAUUAAGCAUGAGUUUUCAGGCUUUCCACUUACUUUGUAGGCUUGUUUUGUAUUCUGGAUAAUAAAAAAGCCCAUAAAAGUUUUUGCCUUUCACCCUUUUGAAAGUUACAGUUAUCAGAAGAACUUAGUAAAGCUGAAAUGAAAUGUGUGAAAUUCCGAAAUAAUAAAGGUGUUCUGAAAAAUAUCUUAUA